rnacentral:rRNA from 1 species
UACGUAGGGUGCGAGCGUUGUCCGGAAUUACUGGGCGUAAAGAGCUCGUAGGUGGUUUGUCGCGUUGUUCGUGAAAACUUGGGGCUUAACCCUGAGCUUGCGGUCGAUACGGGCAUGACUGGAGUUCGGCAGGGGAGACUGGAAUUCCUGGUGUAGCGGUGAAAUGCGCAGAUAUCAGGAGGAACACCGGUGGCGAAGGCGGGUCUCUGGGCCGAUACUGACGCUGAGGAGCGAAAGCGUGGGGAGCGAACAGG